CUUACCAAAUUCAAGUAAUCCAACUUCUGGGUAGCGUGAAAUCAGUGUUAGAAUAUAGUUUUUGUUCGACGAAUUAUGAUUCGUUUUAAGUGGAAUUGAUCAACAAAUAUUACAUUUGUUUUGUGUUUGAUGUGAUAUUUUAAGUAGAGCACUAUAAAACGCUUAUCUACACAUAUUUAUUUUAUACUACAAAAAUGUUGACAUUAAAAAAAAUCUGCAAUUCAUCAUGCUUUAUGUCAUUGCCAUAAAUUGCCACUCAAAGAAUAUUAUGUUCAAUAGCGCAUUUCCUGUAAAGCUACAGUCACACAAUAUUGGGAAUACCCUUGUCUAUCUAGACGACAAGGAAAAAUCAUUUUAUUGAGACGGAGCAUGCGUUUUAUUCUCUUCAGGCAAGUGCAAAAUUCAAGGUGGUGGUGCACGGUGCCAUGGCAUCUCGCACGGCUUGCAACGUGACCAGCUCCCCGCUAGGCCCACUGCCGCCCAUCGCCGCGAACACCUCCCCGCAUCGCUGUGUCAACAUAUUGAUUGGCAUGAAACACCACCCUAAAGGUACUGGUGCAACAGAUGAUGCGCGGCGGCGGCGGCUCGCUCGAGCGCGGCGGGCAGCGGCGGCGGCGGCAGCGCGGCGGCGGCGUGUGC